rnacentral:rRNA from 1 species
AUUGAACGCUGGCGGCAUGCUUUACACAUGCAAGUCGAACGGUAACAGGCCGCAAGGUGCUGACGAGUGGCGAACGGGUGAGUAAUGCAUCGGAACGUGCCCAGUCGUGGGGGAUAACUACUCGAAAGAGUAGCUAAUACCGCAUACGAUCUAUGGAUGAAAGCGGGGGACCGUAAGGCCUCGCGCGAUUGGAGCGGCCGAUGUCAGAUUAGGUAGUUGGUGGGGUAAAGGCUCACCAAGCCAACGAUCUGUAGCUGGUCUGAGAGGACGACCAGCCACACUGGGACUGAGACACGGCCCAGACUCCUACGGGAGGCAGCAGUGGGGAAUUUUGGACAAUGGGCGCAAGCCUGAUCCAGCAAUGCCGCGUGCAGGAAGAAGGCCUUCGGGUUGUAAACUGCUUUUGUACAGAACGAAACGGCUCUGGUUAAUACCCGGGGCUAAUGACGGUACCGUAAGAAUAAGCACCGGCUAACUACGUG